CUAAAUACUGUUUUCACUCAGGUUGUUGGCUUUAGCUGCCAAAGAGAGUGUGAAUCAUUUCUCCCAAGAUUUUAAGUAUCUUUUUUUAGCUUGGAGGCAU